rnacentral:rRNA from 1 species
GCACAAGCGGUGGAGCAUGUGGUUUAAUUCGAAGCAACGCGAAGAACCUUACCAGGUCUUGACAUCCCCUGACAACCGAGAGAUCGGGCGUUCCCCUUCGGGGGACAGGGUGACAGGUGGUGCAUGGUUGUCGUCAGCUCGUGUCGUGAGAUGUUGGGUUAAGUCCCGCAACGAGCGCAACCCUUAUCUUUAAUUGCCAGCAUUCAGUUGGGCACUUUAAAGAGACUGCCGGUGUUAAACCGGAGGAAGGUGGGGAUGACGUCAAGUCCUCAUGGCCUUUAUGCUUAGGGCUACACACGUGCUACAAUGGGUGGUACAAAGAGAAGCCAACUCGCGAGAGCGCGCCAAUCUCAAAAAGCCAUCCUCAGUUCGGAUUGGAGUCUGAAACCCGACUCCAUGAAGGUGGAAUCGCUAGUAAUCGCGCAUCAGCAUGGCGCGGUGAAUACGUUCCCGGGCCUU